GACGAACCGUGCAAACGUUAUUCGGAAUCACUGGGCAUAAAGGGCGCGUAGGCGGCUUCAUAAGUCAGGGGUGAAAUCCGGCAGCUUAACUGUCGCAGUGCCUUUGAUACUGUGGAGCUCGAGGGAGGUAGGGGUCUGUGGAACUUCCGGUGGAGCGGUGAAAUGCGUUGAUAUCGGAAGGAACGCCGGUGGCGAAAGCGACGGACUGGAUCUCUUCUGACGCUGAGGCGCGAAAGCCAGGGGGGCAAACGGG
rnacentral:rRNA from 1 species